UCCGAUAUGGUGUAACGGCUAACAUUACCGCCUUUCACCACGAAGUGGUAGUUCGCGGUAGCUCGGGGUUCGAUUCCCCGUAUCGGAG